rnacentral:rRNA from 1 species
AGCAGCCGCGGUAAUUCCAGCUCCAAUAGCGUAUAUUAAAGUUGUUGCAGUUAAAAAGCUCGUAGUUGAAUUUCGGGGUCAGUAGGUUGGUCAUGCCACUGGUAUGUACUGGCCUCACUGAUUCCUCCUUCCUGAUGAGCCGUAAUGCCAUUAAUUUGGUGUUGCGAGGAAUCUGGACUGUUACUUUGAAAAAAUUAGAGUGCUUAAAGCAGGCUAACGCUUGAAUACAUUAGCAUGGAAUAAUGAAAUAGGACGUUCGAUCUUAUUUUGUUGGUUUCUAAGAUUGACGUAAUGAUUAAUAGGGAUAGUUGGGGGCAUUAGUAUUCAAUUGUCAGAGGUGAAAUUCUUGGAUUUAUUGAAGACUAACUACUGCGAAAGCAUUUGCCAAGGAUGUUUUCAUUAAUCAAGAACGAAAGUUAGGGGAUCGAAGACGAUCAGAUACCGUCGUAGUCUUAACCAUAAACUAUGCCGACUAGGGAUCGGAUGAUGUUAAUUUUUAAUGACU